GAUGAACGCUGGCGGCGUGCCUAAUACAUGCAAGUCGAGCGAACAGGUGAGGAGCUUGCUCCUCUGACGUUAGCGGCGGACGGGUGAGUAACACGUGGAUAACCUACCUAUAAGACUGGGAUAACUUCGGGAAACCGGAGCUAAUACCGGAUAAUAUAUUGAACCGCAUGGUUCAAUAGUGAAAGACGGUUUUGCUGUCACUUAUAGAUGGAUCCGCGCCGCAUUAGCUAGUUGGUAAGGUAACGGCUUACCAAGGCAACGAUGCGUAGCCGACCUGAGAGGGUGAUCGGCCACACUGGAACUGAGACACGGUCCAGACUCCUACGGGAGGCAGCAGUAGGGAAUCUUCCGCAAUGGGCGAAAGCCUGACGGUGCAACGCCGCGUGAGUGAUGAAGGUCUUCGGAUCGUAAAACUCUGUUAUUGGGGAAGAACAAAUGUGUAAGUAACUAUGCACGUCUUGACGGUACCUAAUCAGAAAGCCACGGCUAACUACGUG
rnacentral:rRNA from 1 species